UGAACGCUGGCGGCGUGCCUAACACAUGCAAGUCGAACGAAGCACUUGGAAGCUUGCUUUAAAGUGACUGAGUGGCGGACGGGUGAGUAACGCGUGGAUAACCUGCCUCACACAGGGGGAUAACAGUUAGAAAUGACUGCUGAUACCGCAUAUGCCUACAGUACCGCAUGGUACAGGAGGGAAAGAUUUAUCGGUGUGAGAUGGAUCCGCGUCUGAUUAGCUAGUUGGCGGGGUAACGGCCCACCAAGGCGACGGUCAGUAGCCGACCUGAGAGGGUGACCGGCCACAUUGGGACUGAGACACGGCCCAGACUCCUACGGGAGGCAGCAGUGGGGAAUAUUGCACAAUGGGCGCAAGCCUGAUGCAAGCGACGCCGCGUGAGUGAAGAAGUAUUUCGGUAUGUAAAGCUCUAUCAGCAGGGAAGAUAAUGACGGUACCUGACUAAGAAGCUCCGGCUAAAUACGUGCCAGCCGCGGC
rnacentral:rRNA from 1 species